CCGGAAGCCAGCGCGGAGGCAGGUCGGACCGCUAGUGCGAGUGCGAGCGGUGGCGCGGGCGCGAACAAGGAGCGAGACGAUGACGACGCAGCGCGUGACAAGCUGCUCUGCGGCCCUCGGCCCUCGGUCGGGGCCUGCCUGUGACUGUGGUACCCUCAUGCUGUUUCGCUGGAAAAAAGAUUAGCUCCAGUAACAGCUCCCAUCAGCUUGUAACAGAGUACUCAAGAUGUAAGCUGUGGUGGUCUUAGAAGAACAAAACCCGGAAGGUGAAAAAGCACGCUAGUUUACCCUGCUCAAAUGGCCCACCCCAUUUAGAGUGCACCGGUAAAACGAAGUUUGUGGUCUGGACAUCACCGUUUCUCCCACCGCUGCUUAGUUGAUUGAGCGUCUCAAGAAUGCAUGCACGGAGUCUCCUCAUUUGUCUCUGCGUUAAAUGCAAAAGGAAAGGGCCAUCACAAACAAGUUGCAUCACCAAACGUUUCCUGGUUUGAUUGCGUCAGUUUUUUCAAUGUUUUCAUACAGGGUACAGGAAAAUUUUCCAUGGAAGAUGUCGUACAAUCACAAUUAAAGAUAGUAAAUUUAUAAGCACUGUUUAUCAAAUGAUGAGCAUAUACCGUACACCUACAAACAUGAUUUUUACAGUGAGUUGGAUUGAUUGACAAGACAAUAGUGUUGACUCGAGUACACCCCUAAGAUGUCCUCGACGCGGCUCUUUCUUA